AUUGAACGCUGGCGGCAUGCCUUACACAUGCAAGUCGAACGGCAGCGGGGGAGAAGCUUGCUUUUCCUGCCGGCGAGUGGCGAACGGGUGAGUAAUACAUCGGAACGUGCCCUGUAGUGGGGGAUAACUAGUCGAAAGAUUAGCUAAUACCGCAUACGACCUGAGGGUGAAAGUGGGGGACCGCAAGGCCUCAUGCUAUAGGAGCGGCCGAUGUCUGAUUAGCUAGUUGGGGGGGUAAAGGCCUACCAAGGCGACGAUCAGUAGCUGGUCUGAGAGGACGAUCAGCCACACUGGGACUGAGACACGGCCCAGACUCCUACGGGAGGCAGCAGUGGGGAAUUUUGGACAAUGGGCGAGAGCCUGAUCCAGCAAUGCCGCGUGUGUGAAGAAGGCCUUCGGGUUGUAAAGCACUUUUGUCCGGAAAGAAAUGGCUCUGGUUAAUACCUGGGGUCGAUGACGGUACCGGAAGAAUAAGGACCGGCUAACUACGUGCCAGCCGCCGCCGUAA
rnacentral:rRNA from 1 species